rnacentral:rRNA from 1 species
GACGAACGCUGGCGGCGUGGAUUAGGCAUGCAAGUCGAACGGUAUCAUCCUUUCGGGGGUGAGAGAGUGGCGAACUGGUGAGUAACACGUAGGUUAUCUACCCUCAAGACGGGGACAACCCAGGGAAACUUGGGCUAAUACCGGAUGUGAGCAACUUUUAGUUGUUUGAAAGGUGGCGUAAGCUGUCGCUUCGGGAGGGGCCCGCGUCCCAUCAGCUAGUUGGUAAGGUAAUGGCUUACCAAGGCGAUGACGGGUAGGGGACCUGAGAGGGUGGCCCCCCACAAUGGAACUGAAACACGGUCCAUACACCUACGGGUGGCAGCAGUAGGGAAUAUUAGUAAUGGGCGAAAGCCUGAACUAGCAACGCCGCGUGUGCGAAGAAGGCCUUCGGUUGUAAAGCACUUUUGUAGAGGAUGAGGAAGGACGGUACGUCUCAGAAUAAGUCUCGGCUAACUACGUG